rnacentral:lncRNA from 1 species
GUAAUCUUCAUUAGGUUACGUGACACCAUCACCCACUCGGUAUACUCCGAUUUAGGAAUUACCCCAUUUUCUUGGGUAUAUUGAAUCUAUACUCAGGAUAACAUGAACAUAUCCUAGGUGGGGCCACCAAAAUGGGCAACAUGUGUAAUAGGAAGUAGAGACAUGAAAGGGCGAGUAGUGAGAUAAUGCAAGGGGAGUCGAGGCCCAAACUUAUAACAUGAGUAUUAUAUGAAUCCCACAAGCAAAUACCUAUAUCUAAGUGUAGUACUUCUUGCGCAUGAUACCACAUAAAUCUCACCUAGGAAUGCUACAGCUUUACUAUAGUUCCAUGGUUGUGGUCUGACAGGCCAUUACACGUACUAAAGAUUCUAGGAUUGUAUGUUCAAUUUUCCAAAGAUAAUCAUUAUCCUAGGGAAUUUACUUUAAAAAACUCUUUCUAUUCACUCUAAAGGACACAGGAAAAGUUUUGGUUUAAUUCAUUGAGGCCGAGAUCCAUUCACAUGGAAUACAUGGAUGAGAGUUCUGAAAACAUCUCCCCGAAAAUUGUACAGAAAUACACGAAUGCUAUUUCGAGUUAUCCCAAAUAGUAGUGAGGUUUCUUCCAAGCUUAGAAGAGAUUCAAAAACCUACUAAAUGCUUGCCCCCAUCACAAUUUUUCAUAUGGAUUCAUGAAAUUUUUUAUUUAUGUCUGAUAAAUGAAGAUGUUUGUUGAGUCAUUUGGCGGGACGAGUUUUUGAAAAAACCACUGAGAAGCUUUCGAGUACUUUGUUACUUGGCUAUUUGACGAGUGUUGAGCAUGCACGGGACAAAAAACGUGAAUAGACCUUUUACUUCUAAAUCUACAUAACAUGUAGGUAUAAGUCAAUAAAGGUUAGAGGACGAGUUGGGUUAAUGCAAAACUUACUGCACUUCAAAAAACAAUGGACAGGCUUUGGCACUGCUUAAGGCCACCCUAUGUUUUCAAGGAGACCUUCAAUGUGUACUAUAAUCCAUCUAAUCCUGAGUAGGAGGGAACUAACCUAACUUUGGGUGGCGGCAAGAGAGGGCACAACAAAACUAUACAACAAUUUUCUCAAAAUUCUCAAAAUCUUAAUCCCAACCGACCAACCUACCAUGCACACAAUCAACCCUACACAAACUGUGUCCAAUUGGUGAUAUACCAUAUUUGACACCAUCUGCACACCACCGGACAAUACCAACCUCCAUAUUGGAGUCAUGAGGAUAUAGUUGCCCAUGAAAUCAAUAAUUUGGAACAACUUUGGGAACAAAUUAACUCUUUGCUUGAGAAUUUCAUAAUUUCAUAACAAACCUAAGUGUGCAAAUUGGGCAUUGAGGAACACAUAGCAAGUAUGAGCCAUCACAUCCCUUAUAAGUGAAAAGGAAAUUGAUAAAAUAUUGCACAAAUAUGGUAAAUCAAGGGGCAGUUGAUUCUAGGGAUUAGGCGUGAAGAUUGAGAGAAAAAAAAGUGAGAAAAAUAGGAAAGGAGCGAGAGAAAGAACGUGAGCAUAAUUCCCUGAGCUGUCUAAAAAAAUGUCUAUGAGAUACUAUAUAGAGGAUUUGAAUUGCCACCAUUUUCACAUAGGUUACGGCCAAAGCAAGUAAAGCGAAUUUGAAUGCUGAAAUCUAUGAUGUCUUCAAAUAAGUUCGAAUCACUAUUCAAAAUUUAUAUGCCAUUAACAGAUUCCUUCAUUGCCAAUUUCUUAAAGGACUUGUGUACUGUUCAAAGGAAUUGUAAGGAAAAGAGAUGGCAAUAAUAAAUGAGAGUCAGAGCGCAUUCUUCAAGGUAAAUUUAAAUGCCGAAAUAUCAGGACAAACCGUUUGUUUCCUACAAUUUCAUAUAGAAUAGGGGCUUAUAGGAUCGAUUGAGCACUUCUUGACCUAGGUUCUAGCAUUAAUCUUUUGCCAUACUCUGUGUAUAAGAACUAGGUUUAGGAGACUUGAGCCAACCGUCUUUACACUCGAGUUAAGGCCGAUCGAUCCAUUAAGGUCCCGAGAGGUGUCGUAGAGGAUGUGCGUAUCCAAAUUGAUAAGUUCUCUAUCCGGGUUGAUUUUAUUGUUUUGGAUACCUAACUUGUAGAGUUCGCGUUCUCUAAGCAUCAUAUUCUUGUUAUUUUCUGACUACCAUUUCUUCUACGCAAUGUCGAAUGCCAUUAUUCCAAAAUUGUAGGAAUGGUCUACUUAACCUUUUAUUUGGGAAUAUAACCUUAGAAACCAACAUCUUUCAACGAUAAGGUUACCAAUUAUCGGGGGGUAGACCAGAUUGAAAAGUGGAUAUUGAACCUAGGGAGGAUCCAAUUGAGAGGGAUUUAGUUUGAUUAGUCCAAUGACCAAUUGGAAUGUUCACGUUUAGGAGUUUUUAAAGGAUCUAGUUUUUGAAAGAGAAAAAUGAGUAACUUCUUUUUCUACUGUGAUCAUUGACUCCUAUGUUUUUAGUUUAUUCACAAUUAAGCUUUUGUCGAAUAAUGUAUGGACUAACCGAAAGUAACAAAAUCACAGAUAA